rnacentral:tRNA from 1 species
CAUUAAGUUACUUAAAGGCAAGUGUUGGUCUCUUAAACCAAAUAAUAGUAAAAUAGCAAAUACUCUUAAUG